rnacentral:rRNA from 1 species
AAUGAACGCUGGCGGCAUGCUUAACACAUGCAAGUUGAACGAACUAUUUAUAGUGAGUGGCAAACGGGUGAGUAAUAUGUGGGAAUCUGCCCAUCAGUACGGAAUAACAUUUGGAAACAAAUGCUAAUACCGUAUAUUCUCUACGGAGGAAAGAUUUAUCGCUGAUGGAUGAGCCCGCACCAGAUUAGGUAGUUGUUAGGGUAAUGGCCUAACAAGCUGACGAUCUGUAGCUGGUCUGAGAGGAUGAUCAGCCACACUGGGACUGAGACACGGCCCAG